ACUCCUACGGGAGGCAGCAGUGGGGAAUAUUGCACAAUGGGGGCAACCCUGAUCCAGCCAUGCCGCUGUGUGUGAAGAAGGCUUUCGGGUUGUAAAGCACUUUCAGUCAGGAGGAAGGCNUUAAGGUUAAUACCCNUNAGCAUUGACGUUACUCGCAGAAGAAGCACCGGCUAACUCC
rnacentral:rRNA from 1 species